rnacentral:rRNA from 1 species
CAGUAGCCGCGGGAAUACGUAGGGUGCAAGCGUUAAUCGGAAUUACUGGGCGUAAAGCGUGCGCAGGCGGUUUGUUAAGACAGAUGUGAAAUCCCCGGGCUCAACCUGGGAACUGCAUUUGUGACUGGCAAGCUAGAGUAUGGCAGAGGGGGGUGGAAUUCCGCGUGUAGCAGUGAAAUGCGUAGAUAUGCGGAGGAACACCGAUGGCGAAGGCAGCCCCCUGGGCCAAUACUGACGCUCAUGCACGAAAGCGUGGGGAGCAAACAGGAUUAGAUACCCCCGUAGUCCCUGUCUCUUAUAC